UAUUUUUUCAGUUUCAAUAUUGGAUGUAUAUGCAAAUAACCCAGAAAAAGAUCAUGUAAUAACAAAAGAAAUUAUAAAAGAAAAAAAGGAAGAAGAAAUGGCUGGAAAAAUUGAUGAUAGAGCAGCUUUUUCUUGUUACCCACCUCGGAGGAUCAAGUUGGAAAGGGCUAUUGAUAUUGUGGAGACGUUUUCUCACAGAUCUUGCUUAUCAGACAAAGACUAUGCUGGAACACCAUUGAAAGAGUAUUUGCUGUAUGAUAACAACAAGAAAACCCAAGCAUCAAUUUAUUUUAUACUUCUGGGAAAGAAUGCAUUUGACCCAAUUUUUAAAUAUUUAUUUUUUGUUAUUAAUGUUAAAUUUUCUUCCAAAACACAAUUAGAUUUUAAUUCUCUUCAGAAAUGUAUGUAUAAUAUAGCAAGUAAAGUGGCAUAUAAAUCACUUAGAAUUUGGUCAGAAAUCAUAAAGUAUUUAAUAGGCAUUACUAGAAACCAAAUGUAGAUCAAAUACA